AUAAUGCAAGUCGAGCGGACAGAUGGGAGCUUGCUCCCUGAUGUUAGCGGCGGACGGGUGAGUAACACGUGGGUAACCUGCCUGUAAGACUGGGAUAACUCCGGGAAACCGGGGCUAAUACCGGAUGGUUGUCUGAACCGCAUGGUUCAGACAUAAAAGGUGGCUUCGGCUACCACUUACAGAUGGACCCGCGGCGCAUUAGCUAGUUGGUGAGGUAACGGCUCACCAAGGCGACGAUGCGUAGCCGACCUGAGAGGGUGAUCGGCCACACUGGGACUGAGACACGGCCCAGACUCCUACGGGAGGCAGCAGUAGGGAAUCUUCCGCAAUGGACGAAAGUCUGACGGAGCAACGCCGCGUGAGUGAUGAAGGUUUUCGGAUCGUAAAGCUCUGUUGUUAGGGAAGAACAAGUGCCGUUCAAAUAGGGCGGCACCUUGACGGUACCUAACCAGAAAGCCACGGCUAACUACGUGCCAGCAGCCGCGGUAAUACGUAGGUGGCAAGCGUUGUCCGGAAUUAUUGGGCGUAAAGGGCUCGCAGGCGGUUUCUUAAGUCUGAUGUGAAAGCCCCCGGCUCAACCGGGGAGGGUCAUUGGAAACUGGGGAACUUGAGUGCAGAAGAGGAGAGUGGAAUUCCACGUGUAGCGGUGAAAUGCGUAGAGAUGUGGAGGAACACCAGUGGCGAAGGCGACUCUCUGGUCUGUAACUGACGCUGAGGAGCGAAAGCGUGGGGAGCGAAC
rnacentral:rRNA from 1 species